rnacentral:rRNA from 1 species
CCUACGGGAGGCAGCAGGAGGGAAUAUUGCACAAUGGGGGAAACCCUGAAGCAGCAACGCAGCGUGGAGGAUGAAGGUUUUCGGAUGGUAAAAUCCGUGUGGUAGAGAAGAGAAUGACGGUAACUAACGAAUAAGCACCGGAUAACGCCGGGCCAGGAGCCGCGGUAAUACGGAGGGGGCCAGCGUUCCUCGGAAUAACUGGGCGUAAAGAGAGCGUAGGGGGGAUAGCAAGUCAGAUGGGAAAUCCUAGGGCUUAACCAUAGAACUGCAUUUGAAACUGUUAUUCUAGAGUAUGGGAGAGGUAGGUUGUAUUCUUGGUGUAGUGGUCCAUUCCGU